rnacentral:rRNA from 1 species
CCCGCUGAACUUAAGCAUAUCAAUAAGCGGAGGAAAAGAAACUAACAAGGAUUCCCCUAGUAACGGCGAGUGAAGCGGGAAGAGCUCAAAUUUAAAAUCUGGCGGUUUUGCCGUCCGAGUUGUAAUCUGGAGAAGUGUUUUCCGCGUCGGACCGUGUACAAGUCUCUUGGAACAGAGCGUCGUAGAGGGUGAGAAUCCCGUCUUUGACACGGACUACCGAUGCUAUGUGAUGCACUCUCGAAGAGUCGAGUUGUUUGGGAAUGCAGCUCAAAAUGGGUGGUAAAUUCCAUCUAAAGCUAAAUAUUGGCGAGAGACCGAUAGCGAACAAGUACCGUGAGGGAAAGAUGAAAAGCACUUUGGAAAGAGAGUGAAACAGUACGUGAAAUUGUUGAAAGGGAAACGCUUGAAGUCAGUCGUGCCCUUCAGGAUUCAGCCUUGCUUCUGCUUGGUUUACUUCCUGUUGGGUGGGUCAACGUCAGUUUCGAUCGGAGGAGAAAGGCUUGGGGAAGGUGGCAGCAUUUGUGCUGUGUUAUAGCCCCUUGUUGUAUACUUCGAUUGGGACUGAGGACCGCAGCGCGCCUUUACGGCCGGGGUUCGCCCACGUACGCGCUUAGGAUGUUGGCAUAAUGGCUUUAAGCGACCCGUCUUGAAACACGG